rnacentral:rRNA from 1 species
UACGUAGGGGGCGAGCGUUGUCCGGAUUUAUUGGGCGUAAAGCGCACGUAGGCGGACAUUUAAGUCAGGGGUGAAAUCCCAGAGCUCAACUCUGGAACUGCCUUUGAUACUGGGUGUCUUGAGUAUGGAAGAGGUGAGUGGAAUUCCGAGUGUAGAGGUGAAAUUCGUAGAUAUUCGGAGGAACACCAGUGGCGAAGGCAGCACUCUGGGACGUGACUGACGCUGAGACGCGAAAGCGUGGGGAGCAAACAGG